UACGGGGGGGGCAAGCGUUGUUCGGAAUUACUGGGCGUAAAGGGUUCGUAGGUGGCCAACUAAGUCAGACGUGAAAUCCCUCAGCUUAACUGGGGAACUGCGUCUGAGACUGGAUGCGCUUGAGUGCAGGAGAGGAACGCGGAAUUCCAGGUGUAGCGGUGAAAUGCGUAGAUAUCUGGAGGAACACCGGUGGCGAAGGCGGCAUCCUGGACCGAGAUUGACGCUGAUGAGCGAAAGCUAGGGGAGCAAAGCGGG
rnacentral:rRNA from 1 species